CGCGGGGUCAUCCUUUCGGGGAUGGCUUAGCGGCGGAAGGGACAGUAACACGUAGAUUACCCACCCUCAGGAUCGGGAUAGCGGCGGGAAACUGCCGGUAAUACCGAAUAAUAUCUCCGGAUCAAAGGUGAGAUUCCGCCUGAGGACGGGUCUGCGUCCUAUUAGCUAGUUGGUGGGGUAUUGGCCUACCAAGGCAAAGAUGGGUAGCGGGUGUGAGAGCACGACCCGCGUCACUGGGACUGAGACACUGCCCAGACACCUACGGGUGGCUGCAGUCGAGAAUCUUCGGCAAUGGGCGCAAGCCUGACCGAGCGACGCCGCGUGCGGGAUGAAGGCCUUCGGGUUGUAAACCGCUGUCAGAGAGGCGGAAGUCUAGAGGGGUUAUCCCCUGUAGUUGACCUAAUCUCAGAGGAAGUCCGGGCUAAGUACGUGCCAGCAGCCGCGGUAAUACGUACCGGACGAACGUUAUUCGGAUUUACUGGGCUUAAGGGGUGCGUAGGCGGCCUAGCAAGUUGGGUGUGAAAUCCCUCGGCUCAACCGAGGAACUGCGCUCAAAACUGCUGGGCUGGAGGGAGAUAGAGGUGAGCGGAACUGAUGGUGGAGCGGUGAAAUGCGUUGAUAUCAUCAGGAACACCGGUGGCGAAGGCGGCUCACUGGGUCUUUCCUGACGCUGAAGCACGAAAGCUAGGGGAGCGAACGGGAUUAGAUACCCCGGUAGUCCUAGCCGUAAAC
rnacentral:rRNA from 1 species